rnacentral:rRNA from 1 species
GACGAACGCUGGCGGCGUGCUUAACACAUGCAAGUCGAACGGUGAAGCGCCUUCCUUUUUGGUGGGUGUGGAUGAGUGGCGAACGGGUGAGUAACACGUGAGUAACCUGCCCCCUUCUUCUGGAUAACCGCAUGAAAGUGUGGCUAAUACGGGAUAUUCUGGGUCUGUCGCAUGAUGGGUCUGGGUAAGAUAUUGUUUCGGUGGGGGAUGGGCUCGCGGCCUAUCAGCUUGUGGGUGGGGUGAUGGCCUACCAAGGCGGUGACGGGUAGCCGGCCUGAGAGGGUGGACGGUCAGACUGGGGCGGAGGCACGGCCACGACUGCUACGGGAGGCAGCAGAGGGGAAUAUGGCACGCUGGGGGGAAGCCUGUUGCAGCGACGCCGCGUGAGGGAUGGAGGCCUGCGGGUUGUGAAACUCUUUCGCCAGUGAAGCAGGCCUGCCUCGUUUGUGAGUGGGUUGACGGUAGCUGGAUAAGAAGCUCCGGCUAACUACGUG